AACGAACGCUGGCGGCAGGCUUAACACAUGCAAGUCGAACGGUUGUAGCAAUACAGCAGUGGCAGACGGGUGAGUAACACGUGGGAACCUUCCUAGGGGUACGGAACAACUCAGGGAAACUUGAGCUAAUACCGUAUACGUCCGUGAGGAGAAAGAUUUAUCGCCCUUAGACGGGCCCGCGUAGGAUUAGGUAGUUGGUGGGGUAAUGGCCUACCAAGCCUACGAUCCUUAGCUGAUCUGAGAGGAUGAUCAGCCACACUGGGACUGAGACACGGCCCAGACUCCUACGGGAGGGCAGCAGUGGGGAAUCUUGGACAAUGGGCGCAAGCCUGAUCCAGCCAUGCCGCGUGAGUGGAGAAGGCC
rnacentral:rRNA from 1 species